rnacentral:sRNA from 1 species
UUGACAGCCUGAGAGACUGAAGCCUUUUAUUUAUCCACAGAUUAAAUAUAGCCCAGACAGUGACAGUGCAGCUUCUAUGCUGACCUAGAAGGGCUACCAUCAAGGGGGGAUGAGCACAUUAAUCUCCCCUUGGCAUUUGCCACCUUGCCCGAG